GAUGAAGAACGUAGCGAAAUGCGAUAAGUAAUGUGAAUUGCGGAAUUCAGUGAAUCAUCGAAUCUUUGAACGCACAUUGCGCCCCUUGGUAUUCCGAGGGGCAUGCCUGUUCGAGCGUCAUUAUAACCCCUCAAGCUCAGCUUGGUGUUGGGGCCUGCUGCACUGGCAGCCCUUAAAAUCAGUGGCGGCGCCAUCUGGCUCUAAGCGUAGUAAUUCUUCUCGCUAUGGAGUCCUGGUGGAUGCUUGCCAUCAACCCCCAAUUUUUCUAUGGUUGACCUCGGAUCAGGUAGGGAUACCCGCUGAACUUAAGCAUAUCAAUAAGCGGAGGA
rnacentral:misc_RNA from 1 species